AAACAAUUACGCUGUUAUCCCUAGAGUAACUUAAACUUCUAAUUUCACAAUAAUAAAAAUCAAAUAAAAUCUAUUUUUACAAAAAUUAAAAAUAAAAAUGAAGUUAAAAAUCUCACCAACCGCCCCAGUCAAAAAUAAACACUCUAAAUAUAAAGUUAUUAUUCUAAAGAUUCAUAGGGUCUUCUCGUCCUCUUAUAAAAUUUUAACUUUUUCAUAAAAAAAUAAAAUUCAACACAAUAAAAUUGAGACAAUAAAACCCUCAUUCAUUCAUUCAUACAAUUUUACAAUUAAUAAACUAAUUAUUAUGCUACCUUUGCAA
rnacentral:rRNA from 1 species